rnacentral:rRNA from 1 species
UACGUAGGGCGCAAGCGUUGUCCGGAAUUAUUGGGCGUAAAGAGCGUGUAGGCGGUCCGGUAAGUCAGCUGUGAAAGUCAAGGGCUCAACCCUUGAAAGCCGGUUGAUACUGUCGGGCUAGAGUCCGGAAGAGGCGAGUGGAAUUCCCGGUGUAGCGGUGAAAUGCGCAGAUAUCGGGAGGAACACCAAUGGCGAAGGCAGCUCGCUGGGACGGUACUGACGCUGAGGUGCGAAAGCGUGGGGAGCAAACAGG